rnacentral:rRNA from 1 species
GAUGAACGCUGGCGGCGUGCCUAAUACAUGCAAGUCGAGCGAACAGACGAGGAGCUUGCUCCUCUGACGUUCGCGGCGGACGGGUGAGGAACACGUGGAUAACCUACUUAUAAGACUGGGAUAACUUCGGGAAACCGGAGGUAAUAACGGAGAAUAUACUGAUCCGCUUGGAUGAUUAGUGAAAGACGGGUUUUCUGUCACUUAUAGGUGGAUCCGCGCUGCAUUAGCUGGUUGGUAAUGUAACGGCUUAACGAGGCAACGAUGCGUAGCCGACCUGAGAGGGUGGUCGGCCACACGGGAAGUGAGGCACGUACCACACUCCGGCGGUAAGCAGCAGUAGGGAAUCUUCCGCAAUGGGCGAGAACCUGACGGAGCACCGCCGCGUGAGUGAUGACGGUGUUCGGAUCGUAAGGCUCUGUUAUUAUUGGAGAACAAAUGUGUAAGUAACUGUGCACGACUUGACGGUACCUACUCAAAAAGCCACGGCUAACUACGUG